UAGUUCCCACAUAUCAGUGAGAACACACGAUGUUUGGUUUUCCAUUCCUGAGUUACUUCACUUAGAGUAAUAAUCUCCAGUCCAUCCAGGUUGCAGUGCAUGCCAUCAUGCCUAGCUAAUUAAAAACCUUUUUUU